rnacentral:rRNA from 1 species
AACGAACGCUGGCGGCAGGCUUAACACAUGCAAGUCGAACGGUCUCUUCGGAGGCAGUGGCAGACGGGUGAGUAACGCGUGGGAACAUACCUUUCGGUACGGAACAACAGUUGGAAACGACUGCUAAUACCGUAUACGCCCUGAGGGGGAAAGAUUUAUCGCCGAGAGAUUGGCCCGCGUUGGAUUAGCUAGUUGGUGGGGUAAUGGCCUACCAAGGCGACGAUCCAUAGCUGGUCUGAGAGGAUGAUCAGCCACACUGGGACUGAGACACGGCCCAGACUCCUACGGGAGGCAGCAGUGGGGAAUAUUGGACAAUGGGCGCAAGCCUGAUCCAGCCAUGCCGCGUGAGUGAUGAAGGCCUUAGGGUUGUAAAGCUCUUUCGCCGGUGAAGAUAAUGACGGUAACCGGUAAAGAAGCCCCGGCUAACUUCGUG